rnacentral:rRNA from 1 species
UACAGAGGGUGCGAGCGUUAAUCGGAGUUACUGGGCGUAAAGGGCGCGUAGGCGGUUUAUCAAGUAAGGUGUGAAAUCCCUGGGCUUAACCUAGGAAUUGCAUUUUAGACUGGUGAACUGGAGUGCAGUAGAGGGUAGUGGAAUUUCCGGUGUAGCGGUGAAAUGCGUAGAGAUCGGAAGGAACACCCGUGGCGAAGGCAACUCGCUGGACUGACACUGACGCUGAGACGCGAAAGCGUGGGGAGCAAACAGG